rnacentral:tRNA from 1 species
GGGCCUGUAGCUCAGCUGGGAGAGCGCCGCGUUCGCAACGCGGAGGUCGAGGGUUCGAGCCCCUUCGGGUCCACCA